UACGUAGGGGGCAAGCGUUAUCCGGAUUUACUGGGUGUAAAGGGAACGCAGGCGGUCUUUUAAGUCUGAUGUGAAAGCCUUCGGCUUAACCGGAGUAGUGCAUUGGAAACUGGGAGACUUGAGUGCAGAAGAGGAGAGUGGAACUCCAUGUGUAGCGGUGAAAUGCGUAGAUAUAUGGAAGAACACCAGUGGCGAAAGCGGCUCUCUGGUCUGUAACUGACGCUGAGGUUCGAAAGCGUGGGUAGCAAACAGG
rnacentral:rRNA from 1 species